CCCUCGUUAGUUCAGUGGUAGAAUACCCGCCUCCUCUCCGGGCGGGAGACCGAGGUUCGAUUCCUCGACGAGGAA
rfam:Falconid herpesvirus 1 strain S-18, complete genome.